GCCGGAGUGGCGGAACAGGCAGACGCAAGGGACUUAAAAUCCCUCGGGUGGUUAACACCCGUACCGGUUCGAUUCCGGUCUCCGGCACCA
rnacentral:tRNA from 1 species